rnacentral:rRNA from 1 species
AAACCAGCACCCCAAGUGGUCAGGAUGAUUAUUGGGCCUAAAGCAUCCGUAGCCGGCUCUGUAAGUUUUCGGUUAAAUCUGUACGCUCAACGUACAGGCUGCCGGGAAUACUGUAGAGCUAGGGAGUGGGAGAGGUAGACGGUACUCGGGAGGAAGGGGUAAAAUCCUUUGAUCUCUCGAUGACCACCUGUGGCGAAGGCGGUCUACCAGAACACGUCCGACGGUGAGGGAUGAAAGCUGGGGGAGCAAACCGGAUUAGAAACCCCGGUAGUCC